rnacentral:rRNA from 1 species
AGAAUCAACGCUGGCGGCGUGCCUAACACAUGCAAGUCGAGCGCGAAAGGGGGGGUAACUCCCCAAGUAGAGCGGCGAACGGGUGAGUAACGCGUGGGUGACCUGCCUUCGAGCGGGGGAUAACGUUCCGAAAGGGACGCUAAUACCGCAUAACAUCCUGCCUUUGAAGAGGUGGCGAUCAAAGCUGGGGACCGCAAGGCCCGGCACUUGAAGAGGGGCCCGCGUCUGAUUAGCUAGUUGGUGAGGUAACGGCUCACCAAGGCAACGAUCAGUA